UCUAAAAAUUCCUUUUUUAUUUUUGUGGGGGGUGGUAACUACAAACUCAAUGCUGAAGACUUCCCGAACAAUCCCCAUAAAUCCUGUGGAAGCACAGCUCUGGGUGCCUGUGUCACCCAAGAGGCACAGAUUGCACUGGAGGGAUUUGCCAGCCAGACUGUCCCAAGACAGAUCCCCCUUGACCCAGGGGAUGUGCAGCAACAGAGGCUGCUAAGCUCUGCUUCAUUUAUUUGGGGAAUUCAAAGAAAAUAGAGAAAUGAGGCUGGGAAAUGCAGGAAGACAAGCGAGAAUCCUAUGGUUAUAAUCCCAGUUUUGCCCUCAGAGUCCUCUUUUCUCCGGAGUUCUUGGAGCAGCCAGGCAGCCUCUCAGAGUAGGCCUGAGUAACCAAGCUAUUCCAGUCCAGUAUGCAGUGGCUGGUCACAAGCCCAUCGACUCCCACAACCCUUAUGUGACCUUGGUGAGCUGGCUAGGCAGCACAAUGGGCACAUGCCCAAAAUCCAUUUCUAUUUUGGCUCAUACCCAGCCCCUCGAGCAGCAGAGCCAUCCAUUAGCCCUCCAGUGGUAUCCCAGUCCCCCCAGUGCUUAGGAAAGGUGAGCAGUGAUCCCACCAUUCAUGGCCUCAGCCUACCACAACAUGGAGACCCUCAGGGGCACAGGCAUUAAGCCAUGGGGUUUUCAGCAUAUCUGAGCCUGCAGUCUGGCUGCCAAACACCCCAGAACCCUUGCAGUGAGGAGAACUUUGAUCCUUGUACAAAAGGCUGCCAAUGCAUUCCCCAUUUUAGGGAAGAGAGUAUGCACGGCAGGAACCCAUAAGACUCAUUUGUUGCAGGGCCAGUAUCUUUAGAACCAGUGGUAGCUGUGCUUGGAGCAUAUGAAAUGCUGCCUAAUUUCAAAAAGCCUGUUGUUGGGAGUUCGGAUUUUUCCUUUUGUUUCCUCCAUGGAAUUUUGUCCCAUCUGUUGCUAAGAGACAAUAAUGACCAGUAUUUGAGACAAAAGAAAUGGCCAAGGUGUGGGAAGGGUGCAGCUGGCUAUCUCUUACCUGGGGAGUUUUCUCUCUAGAAGGGCAAAGUGGCUGGGUAGUGAGGGGCUGGGCUUGGUUUCUCUGGCUGUCAGCAUCGGAGGAGGCACAGCCGGUCUGCAAUCGCUGCCCAGAGGAUUUGCUGCCAUUUUGGAGCUUUUGUCUUCCCACUGCUUCUCCUACUGUGGGUGAAAUGGAAACAUCUCCUGCAUGACAGUGGAGCACUAAACAGAGAUCAAUUCCUUUGGUGAUUCUCUUGGAUACCACAGAGAGAUACUGCAGCAAGUCUUCAACCACCGGCAUAAGGUUUCUGGGUAGCUGCAGUCACUGAUUCAUACCUCACUUCUGACAAACUUCAUUGAGCUGGUUGAGCUGAUACCUCUUUCCCAGAUGAGAACAAUUAAGACAGUAAAAUGCACCAGGUACAUGCUCUGGCACUGCUUCCACAUGCAAAGCAAUGCCAUGGAAACAGAGAAAUGCCAGUGCGUGCCGGAAAGGGCAAUAGGCAGUCACCAGAUGAGCAGUGAAUCGAGAGCUGGGGAAAACAGCUGUCAGCAGAUCACUGACACAGAUUACAUUUCACAGGGCAGCUCACAUUGAUACUGCAGGAUGGUACUUAAAAGUCUGGACAGCAAUUUGUUACUUCGUCAUUAGCUACCAUGUUAUCACUUGUCCACACAGAGAGCACGAAGGGCAGUGGUGUGACCUGCAGGCUGGAGAAAUAAAGGAUUCAGCUUUAGCUUCAUCACUUCAACAGCCAUUUCUACUUCUUUUCCACAGCCUGUAAUUUUACACCUUUCUAUGCAAUACAAGCUAAACACUUUCUGUUUCCCAGCAAAAGCAAACAAGGCAGCCUGUGGAUUGUCCUACUGCCCUUUCUAACUUGAAUAGCAACAGACAAACUGCUUGUUCCCAAGUUUGGAAACUGAAUAUCCUCUGAAGCACAUCUACAAACAACUCUGCAGCAGGACGGCCUCCCUCUUCAGCUCCACACAGAUGGAAACAUCUGCUCCUGUCUC